rnacentral:tmRNA from 1 species
GGGGGCGACCUGGCUUCGACGUGGGUUGCGAAACCGGAAGUGCAUGCCGAGAAUGAGAAACUCUCGUAAAUCAGACUCACUAAACAUAAAUGCAAACGAUGAAAACUUUGCUGGUGUAGAAACUUUCGAACCUAUGGCUGACGCAGCAUAAUCGAUCGUUUUUCCAUCGCACCGUGCGCUGCCAUAAAACCAGCGCCCCGUUGACCGAGCUUUCUUAUCGGUAUCGAAUCAACGGUCAUAGAAGAUAAGAUCGCAAUUUAGUCCGUCCCGAAUUAAAUUGUUAAAUCAAGGGAAUCGCCGUAUACCAUCCUGCCCGUCGGAGGGUCUACGGUUAACUUAAAUGACAAGGCUACGCAUGUAGAUCUAAAGGCAGAGGAUUUGCGGACGCGGGUUCAAUCCCCGCCGCCUCCACCA